rnacentral:rRNA from 1 species
UACGGAGGGUGCAAGCGUUGUCCGGAAUCACUGGGCGUAAAGGGCGCGUAGGCGGCUCAUGAAGGCUGUGGUGAAAGUCCGGGGCUCAACCUCGGAUCGGCCGUGGCGACUCGUGGGCUGGAGCACUGUAGAGGCGGGUGGAAUUCCGGGUGUAGCGGUGGAAUGCGUAGAGAUCCGGAAGAACACCGGUGGCGAAGGCGGCCAUCUGGACCGCAACUGACGCUGAGUCGCGAAAGCGUGGGGAGCAAACAGG